rnacentral:rRNA from 1 species
GUCCACGCCCUAACGAUGCACACUAGUUGUUGUGAGGCUCGACCUUGCAGUAAUGCAGUUAACACAUUAAGUGUGCCGCCUGGGAGUACGGUCGCAAGAUUAAACUCAAAGGAAUAGACGGGGACCCGCACAAGCGGUGGAGCAUGUGGUUUAAUUCGACGAUACACGAAGAACCUUACCUGGACUUGACAUAGUAAGAACUUUCUAGAGAUAGAUUGGUGUCUGCUUGCAGAAACUUAUAUACAGGUGCUGCACGGCUGUCGU